GUCCUGUAUAUCCUUUUUAUUUUAUUUCCAACACAAGACGUGCUUCCAUCCACUACAAAUGUGUUUCCAUUAUAAUUUCUUUUUGCAAAAUUAAAAUGCUUCUAGCAUAACAUUUUUUCUGUUUAUGUGCUUCAUCUACUUAUAAAACAUCUUUCAGACAUAGUACAUUUUUGCUUCCUUCACCAGUAAUACAAUGCUUCCUAAGAUCAUAUCAUGCGUAUCCCACAAACUACAGACUUGCUUCCAUUCAGUGCUUCCUACAUAUAGUGGUGUGCUAGCUUCCUUCCAACCGUUAGGUGAUCCAGAUGAUCCAAGUGACGUCAAUUGAGGGGUGCACGAACGGAGUGAAGCUGCAACAUGGACACACAAUUAGCCGAGAUUUCAAUUGAUGGCAAAGUAGUUGAGGCUAUGAUUUACCUAUCCUUUGAGGGCGACCCAAGGCGGCCAUGGUUGCAUGCGACCUCCACGCCGCCGUCGCCUUAUGCGAGCCACAUCGUGAACGCACCGGAGUCCAUCGCCUCGCUCGCUAAUGCAUUAUGAACGCACCGGUGAUCGAAGUAAUUGUAGAUGACGGCGACGGAGAUGGGGUUGCGAGCUCGCUGCUCCUGUACCUCGAUCAUGGCAGCUUAGUACUCCUAGAUGGCAACUCGCUGCAUAAUCAGAAAGUACAUCGGGGAUGCGGUUGACGGCUAGCAAGGAGAGGUGCGUGGGGAAGAGAGAGGAAACGGGAUCUGGAGCAAUAAACGGACAGGUAAUUAAGGAGUUAGCGUUAUCUGCU
rnacentral:lncRNA from 1 species